CACGUAGGGCGCGAGCGUUGUCCGGAAUUAUUGGGCGUAAAGAGCUCGUAGGCGGCCUGUUGCGUCCGCUGUGAAAGCCCGGGGCUUAACCCCGGGUCGGCAGUGGAUACGGGCAGGCUAGAGGUAGGUAGGGGAGAAUGGAAUUCCCGGUGUAGCGGUGAAAUGCGCAGAUAUCGGGAGGAACACCGGUGGCGAAGGCGGUUCUCUGGGCCUUACCUGACGCUGAGGAGCGAAAGCUAGGGGAGCGAAAGGG
rnacentral:rRNA from 1 species